UGUCUAGCUUUUAUACGAAGAUAUUUCCUUUUCUACAAUUGGCCUCAAAGCGCUUGAAAUCUCCACUUGCAAAUUCCACAAAAAGUGUGUUUGAAAUCUGCUCUGUCUAAAGGAAUGUUGAACUCUGUGAGUUGCAUACACACAACACAAAGAAGUUACUGAGAAUUCUUCUUUCUAGCAUAAUAUGAAGAAAUCCCGUUUCCAACGAAGGCCUCAAAGAGGUCUGAAUAUCCACUUGUAGACUUUACAAACAGAGUGUUUCC
rnacentral:lncRNA from 1 species